rnacentral:rRNA from 1 species
GAGUUUGAUCAUGGCUCAGAUUGAACGCUGGCGGCAUGCCUUACACAUGCAAGUCGAACGGCAGCAUGAUCUAGCUUGCUAGAUUGAUGGCGAGUGGCGAACGGGUGAGUAAUACAUCGGAACGUGCCCUGUAGUGGGGGAUAACUAGUCGAAAGAUUAGCUAAUACCGCAUACGACCUGAGGGUGAAAGUGGGGGACCGCAAGGCCUCAUGCUAUAGGAGCGGCCGAUGUCUGAUUAACUAGUUGGUGGGGUAAAGGCCCACCAAGGCGACGAUCAGUAGCUGGUCUGAGAGGACGAUCAGCCACACUGGGACUGAGACACGGCCCAGACUCCUACGGGAGGCAGCAGUGGGGAAUUUUGGACAAUGGGCGAAAGCCUGAUCCAGCAAUGCCGCGUGUGUGAAGAAGGCCUCGG